rnacentral:lncRNA from 1 species
UAAUCAAGCUGAGAUCUCAAGUAACAUGGAUUUGAUGAGGCUCUGUUAUUUGUCAUAAAAUGUUACUGAUCCUCUCCGUCAGAUUUUUCUGGAAUUUGAGGUCAAAAGAUACUAGCCAUUGUUUACUCACUGGGGGAUGUAACCCUUAACCCCAUGCCUUGUGUAACACUAAGCUAUAAAAUACGCUUAAGAAAUUGCGUCAGGUCCUACACCUACCCCUGGUAAGGAAUAGUGUUAGUUCACAAAUCAUGCCUACUGUUAAUAACUCAAGCUGCAAAAUGACUUUUCUGGCCUUCUACCCAUUUAACUCACCAACAGUGAUUAUAUAUUUUAUAGUAUCUUAACUUUUGCUUGUUGGGAGAUUCUCAGACAUGAGGGUCUACUUUUUCUCCUUUCACACUUGCAGACUGCACAUCAAUAAAAAGCAUUUCCUAUGGCUUCUCAGCCUUUUGGCUAAGAUCAAAUGUAAUAAACAUUUCCUCUAAUGAAUUCAUGACAUAGAAGUUUUGCUCUCCAGCCCCUUCUCCGCUCAGUCACCCCCAUCUGACACCAUCUUGCUGGCCUUUCUGUUACUAAAAUCUGCCAUGUCCCAAGAGACACAAGUUUCGCUCCAGGGUCUCCAUCAAUUGCCAUAGGCUCCCUCCUUUUAUCCCAGGCUCCUCCAUGGUGUUCUUCCCCAACUCUUCCAAUUUUCACUCAUGUGGCUGGGGAACUGUGUGGUCCUUGAGAUUCCAGGAGCAGCUAUAGUAGUUGAGAGAUGGAAAGGAACCCUGUUCUUCUCACCCACUCACACAAGUUUGUUCUGAUAGGCACAGGCUGGCCUCAAGCCUCCCUCCUGGAGUCUCUGCCCUUCCUACCCUCCCAGGGUUACAAUGACCAGGGGAAGGAGUCAUACUUGGCUAUGAGGCUCUGAGGAUAAGUUUAGAAAUCUCAAGCCUAGGAAAGGGUUUAUUGAUUUCCUAGACUUCAUUCGAUUCAACAGAUAAUUUUGAGGACCUACCCUGCCCAGGCAAUUUUUAGAAAUUGAAGAUAAGUCCUCAGCUUUCUUAAAGCAUUUAUUCUGGGUGGUUGGAAUAAAUAAAACUGCAUGGUGACAAGGGACAGUGGUAGUUCCUAAACUCCCCAGUGUCUGCAGCUUUGUGAUGUUGAUAUGCUGUGUUGUUUCUGCACAAACAGUGGGGAAAGAAUUCCUUGGGACACAUUUUAAAAUAUAAAAUUUAGGAGUUCCCAUUGUGGCUCAGUGGGUAAAAAAUCCAGUAUAGUGUCUGUGAGGAUGCACAUUUGAUCUCUGUCCUCACUCAGAGAAUUAAGUAUCUGGCAUUGUUGUGGCUGUGGUGUAGGCUGUCAGCUGCAGCUCUGAUUUGACCCCUAGCCCAGGAACUUCCAUAUGUAGCAGGUGUAGCUGUAAAAAGAAAAAAACAAAGAUAAAAUUCAGGAGUGUCAUGGUAUUUCUGGUUUUCCAUUCAUGUCAGGCAAGACCCAUCAGGAAAAAAUGUGAUGUGGAGAGAUUGUCUUUCAUACACUUUAUCUCUUGUAGACGUUGCUCAGACCUUGGGAUCCAGGAAGGUCCUUCUUCCUCUGGGGCAGGGGUGAGCAAACUGAAGCCUGGAACCAAGUCCAGCCCACUACUGGUUUUUUAAUAAAAUUUUACUCACACACAGAUAUGUGCAUUCUUCUCUAUAUUGUCUAUGGCUGCUUUCAUGCUGCAAUGGCAGAGUUGGGUGGCUACAAUAGAUACCAUAUGGGCUGCAGAGCCUAAAUAUUUAUUAUUUGACCCUUUACUGAAAGUUUGCAGACUCCCUUAGAAUAAUGGUUCUGUGAAUGAGAAACAUCACCUGACAUAUCAGUCAACAAAGGAUGUUACAGUCAUCAAGCCACUACAGCCACCCUCACAGCGAGCCCUGAGGGAACUCGGGAUGGGGACAAGUGGGCUUCCUGCUGGCCAAGCCCUCAGCCACUAUAGCCAACCCCCAGCAGUGCACCCUGAGGGCUCGGGAUGGGAAAGCAGAGCACAGGCCCUAGAUGAGCAAGGUGAGUAUCAAAGGGAUGAUUUCAAUGAGCCCAGACUCUUGCAUCUUCCCAUAUAUAGAAAAAUGCUCAAUUCAUUAACUUGAGAAAUCUGGUUUUCUUUAUUUAAGUUAAACUUUUGAGGUUCCAGCUACCUGGUUUUUGUUGCAAAAAUCCCUAUAUAUCCCAGUUCCUCCCUUACCUUUUUUGGAGCUGUCCUCAGAGCCUCCUGAGAGGCUGUGUCUGCCCUAGGCUAUCAUCCUCAGUUUUGUCUGCCAGAUAAAAGAAAAUUCUCAACUUCCAGGUUGUGCUUUUUUUUUUUCAGUUCUCAAAGUGUGGUCCACAGACCAGGAGCAUCUGCAUCAUCACCUGAGACCUUACAAAGAAAUGGAUGUUCUCUCCCUACCCUAGAUCUACUCAAUCUAAAACCAUUUAGUAAGACUUCCGGGUGAUUCCCACUCACGCUAAAUUUUGAGAACUACUGAAUGUAAUGUAAUUUUUUCCUGUAAUUUUUAGAGACCUAUCAGGAAGUCAAAACUCAAGCCGUUUUGGAAUUUCCGACAUCUCUUUUCUUUUUUCCCCAAGUUUGCUAAGAAAGUGAAUGUUGCAUGUUGAGAUGCCUUGGCCGGGGCAUUUUAAGAGAAGCUAUGCAGUGGCAUUAAUGAUUAAGAACCGUAUUCACUGCAAAAAGGAUCAUUAACUGAUUUCAUGACACUUAUGAGGGUUAAUAGUUAACUCAUUGAUUUAUGAGCAUCACAUCAAUGUCCCUUUUAAAAGCUAAAUCUCUUUAAAUUCACUUUUGAUCACAGUUGAGGAGAAGACAUUGAUUGAUUACCAGUAUUAGUGCUUUGUGAUUACAAACAAUUCCCCAUAUUGUCCUUACAUAUGAUGAGUCUGAUUUACAGCCAUAGAUUAUUCUGAUUUACAGCUUCCCAUGGAAAACAUGAGAAAGGGAAGGUGGGUUGUGAUGCUGCCUCAGAGGUUGCUGACUCUUGACCACUAUUCCUCCUCUAAAGAAGAAAAAAUUCUGCAACUGGGCACAUUGAGUUUCAAUGUUUGGGAUUUUUGAAAUGCAGUAUAAGUGAUGAAAUGGGAGGGUAAGCACUGGGAACUUUUAGUCCAUUGUUUAGAAUAAUGUAUUUCUCCAGUUACAUGGAUGAAUCAUGAGUGAAAAGAUUCAACCAAACUUCCUUGAACUUGUGAUGGACCUGACUCUUGUUUCAGGCACUCAGACUUGGAAGAAUCUCCCUGACCCAGCCUAUUCCUCUACCUUUACUUCAGAUUUCUUCACUAUUGUCAUGAGCCUUUUGUUUCAUUUACGUUUACCUGUAUCUUCCAAACAGAUGGGGUUUUCACAGUCAGCACAGCAUACUUUUGUUUUGUCAUCAAUUAAAAGAAAUGAAUGUUACUGCUGUUCUAGUUGAUUAAGUAGAAAUUCAUCAAUCGGGUGGCAAAGGGAAAACAUCAGCUAAUUUCAGGUCUUUCCGCACUCACCCCACUCACCCUGUUGAUUCAGUUGUCACAAAACUUCUGGUUCGAUUACAGGCAACAAGAGAAUUCAUGGGUCCUACGUCCUCUCCUCGGAUGGUGAUUAUUGAUAUGGACUCAAUAUAGUUUGUACAUGUUUAUGGUGAAGCAUUUUAUGCAUGUGAUCUGAAUGCCUUUGUUGGAAAUAGUAACAGACUGGCACUAGCAAUAGUAACAUACCAGCGCUAAAUUUUAUUGCUAAUUUUCAUUUAUUCUGAAGUAGAAUACAGGCUAUUCUCAACUGCAGGUUCAGCAAACUAUACCUGUGAAUGAAAUUUUUCCUGAUGCCCGUGGUGUAAAGUUUUAUUGGAACACAUCCAUGCCUAUUAUUUAAUGCUGCUUUUGUGCUGUCGUGAUAAGAUUGAAGAGUGGUAACAGCCACUCAUAUAGCCUUUAAAGACAAAAAAUAUUUACUGUCUGGUCCUUUAGCAGGGAGUCUGCCCACCCCAUUGACUACAUCACUUAAUGGCACCAACAGAGGCAACAUCUCAGGGCUGGGCACAGACCGAGGUCCUCCUGACACUAAUCAGUUAAAGGAUGCUUUCUUCCAUGUUUCAGCUCUACUGUGGGUAUCAGGGAAAAAAGUGGAAGCAAAGCAUUUUGUACCUAGUAAAUAUUUCAAUAAUGGGCCAUAUCAGGAUUUCUCAGGAUUUGCUUUUAACCCUUUAUUUCUUCUAUGUUUAUGGAAAGACAUCAGUAGAUCCUCCCAGAGAAGGCCAUCUUUCCUAACUGGCACAUGAGCUGUGAAGAACAGAUUUGGUAGCAUGUUUUGGGAGACAUGACCAUGUUGAAACUUUACUUUGAUUUCAUCACAUCUUUGUGUGAGCCCCUCCCCCUGAGUGUGGGAUGGAUCUAGUGGCUGGCUUCCAGGGGACAGAAGAUGGUGAAGUGAUGGAUGUUGCUUCUGAGAUUAGGUAGUAGAAGGACUCUGAUUUCUGUGCUGGCUUCUUUCUCACUCUUUCUUGCUCUCCUAGGCUGUCUACACCAGGGGAAGCCAGCUUGUGAAGCAGCCCUGUGAAGAGAUGGCUAUGCCAAGAGACCAAACCCUGCCAACCACCACAUGUGUGAACUUGGAAGUGGAUCCAUGACCCUGAGCCCCCCCAAGUCAACCUUCAGAUGAGACCCCAAUCUUGACUGAGAGGUUGACUGCAACCUCCUGAGAGACUUGGAUCCAGAGGCUCCCAACUAAGCACCCCCGGAUUCCUAACACACUGAGACCGUGAGAUAAUAAAUGUGUGUCAUUUUAAGCCA